rnacentral:lncRNA from 1 species
CAUCUCUCUCUCUCUCUCUCUCUCUCUCUCUCUCUCCAUCUUUACCACGUAAAAAACCCUUUCUCACCCCCACACCAUUGAAUCCCAAACCAUAAAAACAGAGGAAGAGACCAGAAAAAAAAAAAGGAAAUCAAAUACUCACACACCCGAACCAGCAGAAGGAAGAAAAAAUCAAGGCUCAAACAAAUCACUGCUUUUGUAUCUGCCCUAUUCGCUCAGAAGGUCGACAGCAAGAAAUUGAUAACAUCGAUUAAGGUAUAUUUCACAGCACUUUUAAAAAUUGCGAAUAUAUGAUCUUCGAUGUGAGUGUAUUUAGUUUCUAAUUCUAAAGAUUGUGACAGUAUUUAUCAUAUUGCUCUACUUGUUUAUCCUCUCCAAAAAGUAUGUAAAAGUCAGUGAGAUUUAUUGUUCUUGUUAACUAUUGUUGUGAAGUUUGUGUUGAAAUAAGGGUGUGGGGACUGAUGAAUUAAUGACAUGUAUGUAUUUUCUUUGUAUUAACUAAAUUGUUGCUGCUUUAAUUCAUGCCACAUGAUGACAAAUGUAUUGUCCGUUCCAAUUGAGGCUGCUUGGUUUUUUAUUCCCAUUGUGGGGGUGGAGUUCGGUUGCGAGGGAGUGGUAGGUAGGGGUAUGUUAUCAAAGAAGGCAGUAAAUUAUGUGGGGAAUAGAGAUGUUGAAGAGAGAUGCCAAAGCUUUGUUGAAACUAAUAGUUAAUGUCAAAGACCUAGUGACAGAAAUAAAUAAUCCCAGAAUUAUUUUAUGUUGUGUGUACCGCACAUUCUGGAAUAGUAUGAGAUGAAUAAAACUGGCAAGUGCCAUAGCCUAAUCUACUCAAUACAGGAAAUAUGGAUAGAUAACUUAAAUAAAGCUAAUGAUAGGCCUAAUAUAUUCAUAACUAAUUAGCACCUACAAAGCUUUUCAUUUAUAGGAAUAACAGUAGAUUUUUCAGCUGAAUUUAACUAUCAUGUAGGUAAAAUUUAGAGUUUGAGAUGAAUCUUGUCAAGUCUUGUCAAGGGGUGGCAUACAAUAAGGAGAAUUUCUUUUGCAACAUGAAGUACAUAAGAAAAAUAUUUUCUGUAUGUAGUUCCAGGAUUUUUCAUUAUUAAUGUUUAUAUGGUUCUCCUAUCUACUAUAGCAAAUAAAAAUGCUUCCAUUUUUGUUUCGGCUUGCAUAAGAUGAUCCCUACAUGUAGUGCUUUAAUGGUCUAAACUUUCAGAAAAGCUAUUGCAGCCCCCAUAGAAUUCAUGGAAAGCAACAACAGGCCAUCCUUCAUAAUAUCAACAAUGCCCCUCCUGCAGCUUGCCCAAGGGAGGAUUUAUAGCCUCCAUCUGUAUUUAGUUUUACACCCCCUUUUCAGGUCUAACCCACUUUUUAGUCUAGGGAGAGAAUAUAUAACAUUCUGCCAUGAGCCUUCCAAUCCCAAAUUUUACUGUUACAUUAGCAUAUCCUUUUCCAAUGCUCUUUUGUCAUCAAUCCACAAUUUGCCAUCAGCUUAAUUAGCCCCUCCACCUACCAGACCACUCUUGAGGCAUUCAUCUGGAUAUUCCUAUGUUUGCUGUCAUUAUGCUCAAAUCAUAUGAAAUAAAGAAUCAAUAGGGGCAGAAGGAUAGUCUUGGUCUCUUUACUUCCUUUUUUUUUCUUCUCAUCAUCGAGUGAUGAUGCAUGCUCUCCUAUUCUACUAAUUUUUAAUAAGAUGCUUAAUCAAAACAGAUCAAGCUUUCAUUGUACUUAAUCAUAGAUUGGAGCGUUGAAAAAAGAUGAAAAGUUGAUGUCAAAGUUCACAAUUGAGGACAAGUGUGUCUUUAAGGGAGAUGGAAUGAUACUUCCAUAUAUUUCUUGUUUUGUUUAUUUUAUAUUUCCAUAUGUAGCUUUAUGUUUUAAUUACAUUUUGAAUUAGUCAAACUAGUUGGAGUGGGUUGUUGGAGAUACAAGACCUCAUUUUCUCGUACGUGAGUUUUACAAAUGCAUUAUCAUUUUUUUAUUUUAUAGAUGUUGUUAUUUUUUGAUAGCCUUAUAUUAAACCAACUUUUCCGCUACAAGUUCAUGCCAAUGCCAACACCAGUUGAAAAAUUCAGAUUUAUUAUGUUCAAAUGACUGUAAUUAUCACUCAUCUUGUCUAAUUACAACUAGUUUGUGAGAUAUUAUAAUUAACCUUAAUUUUCAUUUAUCGUGAUAGUUCGUAACAUGGCUACAACAAGGAAUCAACGUUGACACGAACGACAACAUUUAGGUUUAUUUUGGACGAUGAUCAUACAAGCGAUUGUGAUAUAUAAUGAUAUUAAACGUCGUGAACAUCUCCCUAAAGCUCCUCAUACCAAUUGGGAUUCCGAAAGAGAGAUGACACUUACACGAAUGUUUGGCACGAGUGAUAUGAUAUGUUGUGAUCUACUUAGGAUGAAAAUAGGUCCAUUUCAAAGAUUAUGUGCUCGUUUGCGAACGUAUGGGUUGGUUGAUAGUAAAUUUGUCUGAAUUGAAGAACAAGUAGCUAUUUUUCUAAAUACCGUCGGGCAUGACCAACGCAAUCGAUCUGAACGUUUUACUUUCUUUCGAUCUGGUCAAACGGCGAGCUUUUACUUCCACAGAGUCUUGCACGCUUGUCUUCGACUAUAUAGAGAUGUUGUGAUUAACGCCACUCCUCAUGACUCUCCAUACG